AUGAACGCUGGCGGCGUGCCUAAUACAUGCAAGUCGAGCGAACAGACGAGGAGCUUGCUCCUCUGACGUUAGCGGCGGACGGGUGAGUAACACGUGGAUAACCUACCUAUAAGACUGGGAUAACUUCGGGAAACCGGAGCUAAUACCGGAUAAUAUAUUGAACCGCAUGGUUCAAUAGUGAAAGACGGUUUUGCUGUCACUUAUAGAUGGAUCCGCGCCGCAUUAGCUAGUUGGUAAGGUAACGGCUUACCAAGGCGACGAUGCGUAGCCGACCUGGGAGGGUGAUCGGCCACACUGGAACUGAGACACGGUCCAGACUCCUACGGGAGGCAGCAGUAGGGAAUCUUCCGCAAUGGGCGAAAGCCUGACGGAGCAACGCCGCGUGAGUGAUGAAGGUCUUCGGAUCGUAAAACUCUGUUAUUAGGGAAGAACAAAUGUGUAAGUAACUAUGCACGUCUUGACGGUACCUAAUCAGAAAGCCACGGCUAACUACGUG
rnacentral:rRNA from 1 species